rnacentral:rRNA from 1 species
AUGGGAGGAGCCUCGCCGGCGAUAAAGCCUAUCGGCAAAUCAGUGGUGCACCGGAUUUGCUCCGGCCAAGUCAUUUUCGACCUCUCCUCCGCAGUGAAGGAGCUCGUGGAGAACAGCCUCGACGCCGGCGCCACCACCGUCGAGGUCGGCCUCAAGGCCUACGGCGAAGAGUGGUUCAAGGUCGCGGAUAACGGCAGCGGCAUCUCUCCCGGCAAUUUCCAGGCACUCGCUCUGAAGCACCACACGUCCAAGAUAUCGGAUUUCUCCGAUCUCAACUCCGUGGCCACCUUCGGAUUCCGGGGGGAGGCGUUGAGCUCCCUCUGUGCAUUGGGGAAAUUGACGGUCGAGACAAGGACUAAAGAUGAGUCGGUCGGAACUCAUUUGGAGUUUGAGCACUCGGGCGUGGUGAUCAGUGAGAGGAAGAUUGCACGGCAAGUCGGGACCACCGUAACCAUCGAGAAACUCUUCUCCACCUUGCCGGUUCGGGGCAAGGAGUUUAGUAGGAAUAUCAAGAAGGAGUACGGGAAAGUGGUCUCCUUGCUACAUGCUUACGCCUUAAUUGCCAAAGGGGUCAGAUUACUUUGCACAAAUACUGUGGGCAAGAAUUCUAAAACGGUGGUGGUUAAAACUCAAGGAAGCAGUUCACUGAAGGACAAUAUCAUUACGGUCUUUGGUUUGAACACUUUCAAAUGCCUGGAGCCCUUCAACCUGGCCCUCUCUGAAGGCUGUCAGGUAGAAGGUUUCCUUUCCAAGCCUGGACCAGGCACUGGUCGCAAUUCAGGAGACAGGCAAUUCUUCUAUGUAAAUGGCAGACCCGUGGACAUGCCAAAGGUCACCAAACUUGUUAAUGAACUGUACAGGAGUUCCAAUUCCAGGCAAUACCCUGUGGCUGUCCUAAAUUUUUGCAUCCCAACCACAUCUUAUGAUGUGAAUGUCGCACCUGAUAAGAGGAAAAUUUUCUUCUCAUCCGAGCAUACUAUUUUGUUAUCUUUACGGGAAGCUAUUGAAAAUCUGUACAGCCCUCAACAGUGCAGUUUUUCCAUCAAUCACAUUGAAGAUCCUGAAAAGGUCAAUCACACUGAAGAUCCUGUAAAGGAAGAUGACCCUAUGAUUGAUGAACCUAUUAAAAGCACAUAUUUAAUGGACAAGGAAAAUGUUUCAUCGCCUGAAAAUGAUAAUUGCAAGGAAGACACAGAUAGUGAUGAUCAGGACCCACUGAAGGAUCAGAAAGUGAGUUCUUCUGCGACAAGGGUAGCCACUGGAGCUGCAUCUAGAGACAUGAGCCCCUUGCCAAGGAGCCCAGACACUGAGGUUGAUAGAUCUCCUUGGUUUUCAGCAUUGCGGUAUGAGCAGCCAAAAAGACCCCAUGCUGAUUUUAAAAGUAAUCCAGUAAGAGAAAAUCAUGUUAGAACAGGGCUUGCUGCUCAAUCCUCCCCUUCAACUAUUGUUCAGUCUUCUCUUAUGAACUUUCUAUCACUAAACAAGAGGAAGCAUGAAGACAGUUGCAAUCUUAUUACUGAAGCUCCAGUGCUGAGAAGGGGUACAUGCUCAGGGCAAGUGAGAAGAACAAGUUUAGAAGCAAAUGCACCUGGUAUUUCAGAUGCCAACUCACUUCAGCAAAUUAGCCUGUGGGAUCAUUCUCCACAACCUUUUGUACCUAAGAGGACAGAAGUUUCAUUACAGCAUUCUGAACCACCUAAUGUUGGGCCUCCUAGUUCUGAAGCUCCAGUGCUGAGAAGAGGUACAUGCUCGGGGCAAGUGAGAAGAACAAGUUUAGAAGCAAAUGCACCUGGUAUUUCAGAUGCCAACCCACUUCAGCAAAUUAGCCUGUGGGAUCAUUCUCCACAACCUUUUGUACCUAAGAGGACAGAAGUUUCAUUACAGCAUUCUGAACCACCUAAUGUUGGGUCUCCUAGUACUGAAGCGCAUCUCCUCAAUCCAUGUGAUGUCCACAGUACAGAAUUUGAUGUGGAUGAAGAGAAUGAUCGAUGCCUUUCCAAUUUUGGUGCUCCCGAUCAAUGUUUGAAGGAUACCGAACCCCCAAAUACACCGUCCAAUAUAACUUUACUUGAUGGUCAUGAUAAUGACAAUUCGGUGUGCUCUACAUCAGUAUCUUAUUCAGUGCAGUUUACAAUUGAUGAGCUUAGGAGAAGAAGAAAACGCGGUUUUAUUGUAUCACAUGAAAACAGAGUCCAUUGUUCUGAGAAAACUGCAAGGUGUUAUAAAGCCGCAACACUGGAUAAUUAUGUACCAAAUGAUGACGAGGGAAAAUCUAAUUAUUUAGCUGCAGCCACCAAUGAGUUGGACAGGUUUUUCAGCAAAGAUAAUUUUGGAGAAAUGAAGGUUGUUGGGCAGUUUAAUCUCGGUUUUAUCAUCGGAAAGCUGGAACAAGACCUAUUUAUUGUAGAUCAGCAUGCUGCUGAUGAGAAGUACAACUUUGAGAGCCUGUCACGGUCAACAACGUUAAACAUACAGCCUCUUCUUCAGCCACUGAGACUUGAACUUUCACCGGAGGAAGAAGUUAUCGUAUCUAUGCACAUGAACACUAUCAGAAAAAAUGGUUUUGUUUUAGCAGAAGAUUUGCAUGCUUCUCCUGGCAGUCAUUAUCUUUUGAAAGCUGUGCCAUUUAGUAAAAAUAUUACAUUUGGUGUUCAAGAUGUGAAGGAGCUGAUUUGCAUGCUUUCUGACAGUCAAGGUGACUGUUCAAUAAUUAGUAGCUAUAAGAUGGAUACAACUGAUUCUGUUUGCCCUUCGAGGGUUCGUGCUAUGUUUGCUUCGAGGGCUUGCCGAAUGUCUACUAUGAUUGGCGAUCCACUGACGAAAACUGAAAUGAAGAAGAUACUGAAAAAUCUAACAGGACUAAGGUCCCCUUGGAAUUGCCCGCACGGGAGGCCAACAAUGCGGCAUCUUGCAGAUCUGACUAGUAUAAGGUCCAAAGAAACAAAUUGA